rnacentral:tRNA from 1 species
UGGCUCAAUGGUAGAGCCUUUGCUUAGUAUGCAUGAGGCUCUAGGUUCAAUUCCCAG